rnacentral:rRNA from 1 species
AGUUUAACGGCCGCGGUAUCUUAACCGUGCAAAGGUAGCGUAAUCAACCGUCUUUUAAAUGGAGACCCGUAUGAAUGGUGAAACGAAAACUCAACUGUCUCACUCUUUUAACCAAUGAAAUUGAUCUCUCCGUGCAGAAGCGGGGAUAAAUGCAUAAGACAAAAAGACCCUGUGGAGCUUUAGACUAAUCAGCUUAAGCUUUACAAACAUUUAUGUGUAGCUUAAAUACUGCAUACAUCUUAGAUUGGGGCGAUCACGGAGAAAAUACACCCUCCACGAAGGAAAAACAUACGUUUAAUAAUUAAGAGCUACUGCUCUAAAUGCUAAAACAUUUAACUUUAUGAACCGGCUUGCCGAUUAACGAACCCAGUUACCCCAGGGAUAACAGCGCAAUCUCCCUAAAGAGCACCUAUCAAUAGGGAGGCUUACGACCUCGAUGUUGGAUCAGGACAUCCUAAUGGCGCAUCUACUAUUAAGGGUUCGUUUGUUCAACGAUUAAAGUCCUACGUGAUCUGA